rnacentral:rRNA from 1 species
UGGGGAAUAUUGCACAAUGGGCGCAAGCCUGAUGCAGCCAUGCCGCGUGUGUGAAGAAGGCCUUCGGGUUGUAAAGCACUUUCAGCGGGGAGGAAGGCGGUGAGGUUAAUAACCUCAUCGAUUGACGUUACCCGCAGAAGAAGCACCGGCUAACUCCGUGCAGCAGCCGCGGUAAUACGGAGGGUGCAAGCGUUAAUCGGAAUUACUGGGCGUAAAGCGCACGCAGGCGGUCUGUCAAGUCGGAUGUGAAAUCCCCGGGCUCAACCUGGGAACUGCAUUCGAAACUGGCAGGCUAGAGUCUUGUAGAGGGGGGUAGAAUUCCAGGUGUAGCGGUGAAAUGCGUAGAGAUCUGGAGGAAUACCGGUGGCGAAGGCGGCCCCCUGGACAAAGACUGACGCUCAGGUGCGAAAGCGUGGGGAGCAAACAGG